rfam:Camelus ferus unplaced genomic scaffold scaffold715, whole genome shotgun sequence.
GAGGGUAUAGCUCAGGCGUAGAGCAAGUGCUUAGCAUGCAGUAGGUCCUGGGUUCAAUUCCCAGUGCCUCCA